rnacentral:rRNA from 1 species
CUCUACAGCCAUACCACCCUGAACACACCUGAGCUCGUUUGAUCUCAGAAGCUAAGAAAGCGAAGCAGCGUUCUUGCUGAUAGGGA